GACGAACGCUGGCGGCGUGCUUAACACAUGCAAGUCGAACGCAGUGGCGAACGGGUGAGUAACGCGUAAUCAACCUGCCCUUCAGAGGGGGACAACAGUUGGAAACGACUGCUAAUACCGCAUACUUAAGGCUGGGCUUGCGUCUGAUUAGCUAGUUGGAGGGGUAACGGCCCACCAAGGCGAUGAUAAGUAGCAGGUCUGAGAGGAUGAACGGCAAAAGGGGGACUGAGACACGGCCCAGACGCCUACGGGAGGCAGCAGUGGGGAAUCUUCCGAAAUGGACGAAAGUCGGACGGAGCAACGCCGCGGGAGUGAUGACGGCCUUCGGGUUGUAAAGAUCUGUUAAUCGGGACGCGGUACCGGAAUAGAAAGCCACGGCUAACUACGUGCCAGCAGCCGCGGUAAUAC
rnacentral:rRNA from 1 species